GAGUUUGAUCCUGGCUCAGAACGAACGCUGGCGGCGUGCCUAACACAUCGCUUUCGAACGAGAAAGCCCUUCGGGGUGAGUAGAGUGGCGCACGGGUGAGUAAUGCAUGGGAACGUACCCUUUAGUUUGGAAUAACCACUGGAAACGGUGGCUAAUACCGGAUGGUCUCGCAAGAGUAAAGAUGGCCUCUUCUUGAAAGCUAUCGCUAGAGGAUCGGCCCAUGUCCCAUUAGGUAGUUGGUGAGGUAAUGGCUCACCAAGUCUGCGAUCUAUAGCUGGUUUGAGAAGAUGAUCAGCCACACUGGAACUGAGACACGGUCCAGACUCCUACGGGAGGCAGAAGUGGGGAAUAUUGCACAAUGGGCGAAAGCCUGAUGCAGCAAUGCCGCGUGAGUGAAGAAGGCUCUUGGGUCGUAAAGCCCUUUCGAUUGGGAAGAAGGGUAGUGUGGCUAAUAUCCACAUUACUUGACGGUACCUUUAUAAGAAGCACCGGCUAAUUUCGUGCCAGCAGCCGCGGUAAUACGAAAGGUGCAAGCGUUGUUCGGAAUGACUGGGCGUAAAGCGCGCGUAGGCGGGACAAUAGGUCGAUUGUGAAAUCCCCGGGCUCAACCUGGGAACUGCAGUCGAAACCAUUGUUCUUGAAUACUGGAGAGGAAAGCGGAAUUCCUGGUGUAGAGGUGAAAUUCGUAGAUAUCAGGAGGAACACCGAUGGCGAAGGCAGCUUUCUGGACAGAUAUUGACGCUGAGGCGCGAAGGCGUGGGUAGCGAACAGGAUUAGAUACCCUGGUAGUCCACGCAGUAAACGAUGUACACUAGGUGUAGCGGGUAUUAAAACUUGCUGUGCCGCAGCUAACGCAUUAAGUGUACCGCCUGGGGAGUACGGUCGCAAGACUAAAACUCAAAGGAAUUGACGGGGGCCCGCACAAGCGGUGGAGCAUGUGGUUUAAUUCGACGCAACGCGAAGAACCUUACCUGGGUUUGACAUCCUGUGACAAUCUCAGAGAUGAGACUUUCCCUUCGGGGACGCGGUGACAGGUGCUGCAUGGCUGUCGUCAGCUCGUGUUGUGAAAUGUUCGGUUAAGUCCGGCAACGAGCGCAACCCCUGUCCUUAGUUACCAUCAUUAAGUUGGGGACUCUAGGGAGACUGCCGGUGUUAAACCGGAGGAAGGCGGGGAUGACGUCAAGUCCUCAUGGCUCUUACGGGAAGGGCUACACACGUACUACAAUGGUAGAAACAAACAGUUGCGAAACCGCGAGGUCAAGCUAAUCCCUAAAACACUAUCUCAGUCCGGAUUGGAGUCUGCAACUCGACUCCAUGAAGUUGGAAUCGCUAGUAAUCGGAGAUCAGCACGCUCCGGUGAAUACGUUCCCGGGCCUUGUACACACCGCCCGUCACACCACGGGAGUGGUCUCAACCAGAAGUAGGUGAGCUGACCUCGGAGGCAAAAUGCCACGGUUGGGGCCGUGAUUGGGGUGA
rnacentral:rRNA from 1 species